UUGCAAUAAUUAUCAGUUUUUGCUACAAAA
rnacentral:piRNA from 1 species